rnacentral:rRNA from 1 species
UAGGGAUACCCGCUGAACUUAA